AUAACGUCCCGAAACGGGCGCUAAUACCGCAUACGUCCUACGGAGAAAACAGGGACCUUCGGGCCUUGCGCUAUCAGAUGAGCCUAGGUCGGAUUAGCUAAUUGGUGAGUUAAUGGCUCACCAAGGCGACGAUCCGUAACUGGUCUGAGAGGAUGAUCAGUCACACUGGAACUGAGACACGGUCCAGACUCCUACGGGAGGCAGCAGUGGGGAAUAUUGGACAAUGGGCGAAAGCCUGAUCCAGCCAUGCCGCGUGUGUGAAGAAGGUCUUCGGAUUGUAAAGCACUUUAAGUUGGGAGGAAGGGCAUUAACCUAAUACGUUAGUGUUUUGACGUUACCGACAGAAUAAGCACCGGCUAACUUCGUGCCAGCAGCCGCGGUAAUACGAAGGGUGCAAGCGUUAAUCGAAAUUACUGGGCGUAAAGCGCGCGUAGGUGGUUCGGUAAGAUGGAAGUGAAAGCCCCGGGCUCAACCUGGGAACUGCCUUCAUAACUGCCGAGCUAGAGUACGGUAGAGGGUAGUGGAAUUUCCUGUGUAGCGGUGAAAUGCGUAGAUAUAGGAAGGAACACCAGUGGCGAAGGCGACUACCUG
rnacentral:rRNA from 1 species